rnacentral:rRNA from 1 species
AGUGAACGCUGGCGGCGUGCUUAACACAUGCAAGUCGAACGAGAACGGAUUAUAGCUUGCUAUAAUUGUCAGCUAAGUGGCGCACGGGUGAGUAAUGUAUAGGUAAUAUGCCUCUUACUAAGGGAUAACAAAUGGAAACGUUUGCUAAUACCUUAUACUCCUUAUUAACAGAAGUUAGUAAGGGAAAGAUUUAUUGGUAAGAGAUUAGCCUGUAUUGUAUCAGUUAGUUGGUGGGGUAAUGGCUUACCAAGACUAUGACACAUAACUGGUUUGAGAGGAUGAUCAGUAACACUGGAACUGAGACACGGUCCAGACUCCUACGGGAGGCAGCAGUGGGGAAUAUUGCACAAUGGACGAAAGUCUGAUGCAGCAACGCCGCGUGGAGGAUGACACAUUUCGGUGCGUAAACUCCUUUAAUAUGAGAAGAUAAUGACGGUAUUAUAUGAAUAAGCACCGGCUAACUCCGUGCCAGCAGCCGCGGUAA